AUUGAACGCUGGCGGCAUGCCUUACACAUGCAAGUCGAACGGUAACGCGGGGCAACCUGGCGACGAGUGGCGAACGGGUGAGUAAUAUAUCGGAACGUGCCCAGUGGUGGGGGAUAGCCCGGCGAAAGCCGGAUUAAUACCGCAUACGACCUACGGGUGAAAGCGGGGGAUCGCAAGACCUCGCGCUAUUGGAGCGGCCGAUAUCAGAUUAGGUAGUUGGUGGGGUAAAAGCCUACCAAGCCAACGAUCUGUAGCUGGUCUGAGAGGACGACCAGCCACACUGGGACUGAGACACGGCCCAGACUCCUACGGGAGGCAGCAGUGGGAAUUUUGGACAUUGGGCGCAAGCCUGAUCCAGCCAUGCCGCGUGCGGGAAGAAGGGCCCUUCGGGUUGUAAACCGCUUUGUUCAGGGAAGAAACGCUCUGGGCGUAAUACCCUGGGUAAGUGACGGUACCUGAAGAAUAAACACCGGACUAACUACGUGCCA
rnacentral:rRNA from 1 species